rnacentral:lncRNA from 1 species
AAAUUAGUAGGCACUGCUUUCAGAGCAGCCCUGGUCUAUUUUGGCUGUAACAUUGAUUCCAUUUCAUAUUGAAUGCUCCCUGCAGGAGUAUUCUUGCUGGUGCUAGCUCGUGCUGAGGUUCCUAUCUGUCCUUUGAGUUAACACCCAAUGCUUGGGCAAGAGGAUAUGAUACAGCUGGAAAAGACUUGGAGAAGGAUGACAAAGACAGCAGAAGGCAGAGAAGGACUUUAUUACCAGUAGCAGCAGAUUUUGCAGAUACUGAAAGUUUUGCACAAGUUCAGGAAAAUACCACUGAUGGAUUCUUCAGUCUGCCCCCUGGCAUCCAGCGCUGGCUGGAGGUAUGAUGAGCUCUGGUCUCUCUAGGUAUCAUUGCUCUGGUGUUCCAGCUGAAUUGUAUAACUUUUUUUCUGACUAAUUCAGUGUAAAAUGCUAAGCCAGUUGUCUCAUUCUCAGAGCCGUGUUUCUUUUUUUAACAUUUGUAUGCAAAACUAAGCAGCAUGGAGAUGCGGAUAAAUAUCCUGUGUCAUGCCCAGUAGCUUGGCUGAGGUCCUGUUCAUUGUCUCCCUGCUCUGUAUGCUGCCUCUCAGCCAGCAGGACAG